UCAAACUUGGUCAUUUAGAGGAAGUAAAAGUCGUAACAAGGUCUCCGUUGGUGAACCAGCGGAGGGAUCAUUACAGGGUCCAACGACUCCAAAACCAAACCGUGCUCCCGUCGUGUCGCGGCUCGCCGCGACCGCUUUGCUGAGGCAGUGCCGCUCGUUGGGGGAGCCAUGCUGGCCGGGGGUUGCCCCGGUGGCCUGCCGGCUUUUUUUCAAAACCAAAACCUGCGCAAGAAUGACAGAGAAGAACGCGAAAGCGUGAAUAAAAUCACAACUCACAACAAUGGAUCUCUUGGCUCCGGCAUCGAUGAAGAACGCAGC
rnacentral:misc_RNA from 1 species